rnacentral:rRNA from 1 species
UACAGAGACUGCAAGCGUUAUUCGGAUUCACUGGGCGUAAAGGGUGCGCAGGCGGCCAAGUGUGUUAGGCGUGAAAGCCUGGGGCUUAACCCCCAGAAUUGCACCUAAAACUACAUGGCUAGAGCAUUGGAGAGGGUAGCGGAAUUCACGGUGUAGCAGUGAAAUGCGUAGAUAUCGUGAGGAACACCAGAGGCGAAGGCGGCUACCUGGACAAUUGCUGACGCUCAGGCACGAAAGCGUGGGGAGCAAAAGGG